rnacentral:rRNA from 1 species
CCUACGGGAGGCUGCAGUGAGGGAUAUUGGUCAAUGGGCGUAAGCCUGAACCAGCCAAGUCGCGUGAGGGAUGAAGGUUCUAUGGAUCGUAAACCCUAUUUAUAAGGGAAUAAAGGGUGGGACGUGUCCUAUUUUGUAUGUACCUUAUGAAUAAGGAUCGGCUAACUCCGUGCCAGCAGCCGCGGGAAUACGGAGGGUCCGAGCGUUAUCCGGAUUUAUUGGGUGUAAAGGGUGCGUAGGCGGCCUUUUAAGUCAGCGGUGAAAGUCUGUGGCUCAACCAUAGAAUUGCCGUUGAAACUGGGGGGCUUGAGUAUGUUUGAGGCAGGCGGAAUGCGUGGUGUAGCGGUGAAAUGCUUAGAUAUCACGCAGAACCCCGAUUGCGAAGGCAGCCUGCCAAGCCAUGACUGACGCUGAUGCACGAAAGCGUGGGGAUCAAACAGGAUUAGAUACCCUUGUAGUC